rnacentral:misc_RNA from 1 species
UACAGAGGCCCCGAGCGUUACCCGGAAUCACUGGGCGUAAAGCGUGUGUAGGCGGCAAUAUUAGUCCUCUGUUAAAACUCCGGGCUCAACCCGGAGAUCGCAAAGGAAACGGUAUUGCUCGAGGAUGCGAGAGGUAUAUGGAACUCUAGGCGUAGGAGUGAAAUCCGUUGAUAUCUAGGGGAACACCAAAAGCGAAGGCAAUAUACUGGCGCAUUCCUGACGCUGAGACACGAAAGCGUGGGUAGCGAAUGGG